UUUGAGACGAUGUCUUAUUUUUAUUUAAUAAAAUAUCUUAAAAAGUUCAGUCUUUUAGAAAAAAAUGAAAAUUGAUAAUGAAGAUAUGAUAUGGUAAAUGGAACGUGUAUGCUUUCUCAAUUUAGUGGCGAUCAAUAACGAGGAUUCAUUAUGAAAGGUCCAUUUCUGACCGUCCAAGAAGGAGAUGGCGUAGAUGGGUGUUACCGUAUAAAUAUAGCUCGGAGUAUUACUCGAGUAUUACAUCACCAUAGAUAUUGAAAUACGCGAAAUGUUUUGUAUAUUAAAUUCCAUCAAGAAUCAGCACCACGCCAAGAAUUGCAAUCUGCAUAUAGAGCUGCAUUAAUCUG
rnacentral:lncRNA from 1 species